rnacentral:tRNA from 1 species
GACGAGUUGGCCGAGUGGUUAAGGCGAUGGACUGCUAAUCCAUUGUGCUCUACACCGCGUGGGUGUCGAAUCCCAUCCUCGUCG